rnacentral:rRNA from 1 species
GUACGGGGGGGGCAAGCGUUGUUCGGAAUUACUGGGCGUAAAGGGUGCGUAGGCGGUCUGUUAAGUCAGGGGUGAAAGACGGUAGCUCAACUAUCGCAGUGCCCUUGAUACUGAUGGGACUUGAAUGUACUAGAGGUAGGCGGAAUGUGACAAGUAGCGGUGAAAAUGCAUAGAUAUGUCACAGAACACCAAUUGCGAAGGCAGCUUACUAUGGUAUUAUUGACGCUGAGGCACGAAAGCGUGGGGAUCGAACAGG